GCUCUGACUUUAUUGCACUACUGUACUGUACAGCUAGCAGUGCAAUAGUAUUGUCAAAGCAU
rnacentral:pre_miRNA from 1 species